AUUGAACGCUGGCGGCAUGCCUUACACAUGCAAGUCGAACGGUAACAGGUCUUCGGAUGCUGACGAGUGGCGAACGGGUGAGUAAUAUAUCGGAACGUGCCCAGUUGUGGGGGAUAACUACUCGAAAGAGUGGCUAAUACCGCAUACGACCUGAGGGUGAAAGCGGGGGAUCGCAAGACCUCGCGCAAUUGGAGCGGCCGAUAUCAGAUUAGGUAGUUGGUGGGGUAAAGGCUGACCAAGCCAACGAUCUGUAGCUGGUCUGAGAGGACGACCCGGCACACUGGGACUGAAACACGGCCCAGACUCCUACGGGAGGCAGCAGUGGGGAAUUGUGGACAAUGGACGCAAGUCUGAUCCAGCCAUGCCGCGUGCGGGAAGAAGGCCUUCGGGUUGUAAACCGCUUUUGUCAGGGAAGAAAAGGGCGACUCUAAUACAGUUGCCUCAUGACGGUACCUGAAGAAUAAGCACCGGCUAACUACGUGCCAGCCGCCGCAGUAACAC
rnacentral:rRNA from 1 species